rnacentral:lncRNA from 1 species
AUCGACGAGUUAUUUAUUAGUGUCUUAUAACUGGUUAAUUUCACGUUUGGAGCGCGUGGGAGAGCAGUUUUCGCGCGUAGGCUGGCAGACCCUGAGAGAGGCUAUGCGACUGGUCGAGAGGAAAGGGAUCCAUGAUGAGGAACCUGUGCCACAACUUCAUAGAUAAAUCUUUGCCUCAUGGUGUAUACAACAGAAGAUAAAUAUGCAUCGAUCUACAAAACUUUUUGACCGACUGCUGAUCGAUGAUGAUCGAUGAUGUGACUAAACGUUGCCAGCUUGCGACAUCUAUGAGUGGACUCGUUAAUUCAACCAGGAAAGUGAAGUUACCAACAAUCGCAUAAAAAUGAAUACUCGACGUUAACACUUACGACGAGAAUGACGUUCGGCUCUGUAGUGGGUUUGCCGCUGGUGUCGCCACGCAUGACGACCCAGGUGACGGAGUAAGUGAGAUUGCUGCCGUACGAGGAGAGACGAUUUCCGGCAUAGAUCUUGGGCGCCAGCCAAUACGGACUUUGAUACUCGACCUCGAAUGAAGACAUGGUCAAAAGACCGCUGUCCGGAUCGGCAUUGACGAGGAGAGAACGGGAGGCGUUCAUGUCGGUUAUCAUCCAACCCUCUAAGCUCGAUAUCUGACAUCCGGCUCAUUUAUUCAAGAGUUGGAAGAGAUUGCAGCACCGAGUUGCGGAAGAAGCAGAUAAUUUCUCGUUGCGGUAAAUAGAAAUCGUGGCUUUGCGAACGAGCGCUCAUGUGAUAAUAAUAAUUACGAUAUGCCAACUCUCUUAAGGUGGACAAAUCAUCAUCCUUCAUGCGCGGUUUUAUUUAUCCUUGUAUGCGUGUUCACCGUCACCGUUGUGUGUGUGCGCGCGCGCGCGUGUGUCUUCACGAAGGAGUCGUUACAGCGACAACGUAAUUGCGGGUUGGCUCGAUCGUUUCGAACCGCCAACACACCGAUAACACGCUUUCGUACGUUUCGUAUGCGAUGCUUUUAUACAGACGGGGUGGUUCAUACACGUAUAUCCACUCUGGGCUACACGAAGCAGCAUCGUUACGUUACUAAUACUACAAUUCACUUCGAUAAAGCUCAACGUCCUACCUUAUCUCUGAUCUCGCGAAUAAAGCGCGAGGGAGAGAGCCCGGCGGGGGGACGAGAGAGACGAAGAAUUUAUGACGCGCCGUUUUCCUUAAGGUGAUCGACGUUAAAUCGAUUCCAAUGAUUAUUAUGAUACAAGCAUUAGCGAUAAAAGAGAAAAGAUCAGAUGGCAAUGGCACCGACGCCGUCAUUAUCCACUGAGCGGUGCAUGGUUAGUGCAGCUUGGGAAAAUCAGAUUGUGCUAAAUCGAUGCUGAGAGACAUCCAAGUAUUUGCUAAACGUUCGAAAGAAAUAUUGUGCUGCGGGAGCUUAAGGCUUUUUUUCACGGAUUAUGAGGAAUGGUCAAACUCACCGGCUCGUAAGUCAAUUUGGCAGCUCUGCACUCAUUCGUAAUGCCGAAACAGUCACACUGCAGACAGCCCUCUAGAUUGUCGCGUGUCAAAGCGUAAUAUCCGGUCUUGCAUUCGUCGCAAAAUUCACCGGCAACGUGAAGCUUGCACAAACAAUCACCCUCGCAAUCGUGGGCUGGUAAAAUUCCUCGGGAAUCACACGGGCAUGGCAUGCAAUCGGGAAAUUGACGAUAGCCUGCCGCGCACUGAUCACACUUGUACCCGGAAUAACCGGGCUUACACUCACAGGCACCUGUUACCUGAAAAUAAAAAACGUCCGCCAAUACUUCUUACGUUUCACGAGAAUAACGGCCGGUUUUUUAACCUGAUGCACACCUCGUACGCGUCAACAAAGGAUGAACAGCAGCAGCCCAGUGACCGUGAAAAUUUACGAGAUUUUUGUUGCGAAUAAAUUUAGCAGUUUUUCGACGAGUUUUUCAUAUUCAUUUUCGUUAUUGCAUUCUCAAAUUCGUUUUUUUAUCAACGAACGUAGGAACGAAUCGACAAAAAUCGUAGAGAAAACCGAUUCAAAGUUCGGGCCCGUUCAGCAUACGUGGAGGAAUAUUUUGAAGGGUUUUCAAGGAAAUUUAUCAAGAAUAUUAUUGCUUGUACCGAAAUUUCUUUUAGUCAACCGAAAAUCGACUCUUUUUUUCGUUACACAAAGUUCAAAAUAUUCUUUGCGCGAGAUUAAACUUGUUGUACAUUUCAUUUUUUUGCAAAAUCUCGUUCUCAAGAUAUUUUGUGAUAUCGUGACGUCACAUCGAGAAAAUUAUAAAUUUUAUAUAAUCUUUGUGAAGAUGGAGCAGUUUGAAAAUAUUUUCAGCUCAGUAUAUAAUCGAAAAUCGUAGUGGGUUGAGAAGUGUGACAUUCGUUACCAUCCUAGCUCGUUUAAUGAGAAAUUAAGGGAAUAUGCUGACUCAAUUUUUGUGUUAAAAUGCUAGAGAAAGUUUGAAAUACAGUGCUUCUGUGGUUUGCCACCUUUUCAGUUGAUUACCGCAGUUGAGUUCAGCUCAGGACGUGUGCCCGAAAAAAUGAUGAGAUUUGCUUUCACUAAAGUGGUGCAUAAUUUUUCCGAUAUUUCGAGCAAGAAAAAUACUCGGUGCGCUUCGCAGAUGGCGAAUGAUUUUUUACGAAAUUCAAAAUACCGGAUUGAAAAUGCUGCCAAAGGGUAUGGAUUUCAUGGAAUUUUUUUCAAAAUUUGUCAGAAAAUGUGAGUGCUGCAUUAUUCAUCGUGCAAUAUGAUCGCGUGGAGCAAACUGAAAGUAUGAAAAACGAUAGGAAAGUAUCGGAAACCAAAAAAUCAGCAGUUCAAAAAUAAACAGGAAGAAGAUGAAAUUUGUUGCGUCGUUAUUGAAUAAUUUUCUCAGCAAUUCCAGUCUUUUUCUUUGACAAUCGAUGUCUAAUAAUUUUUCGAUAGUUCAUCAUUUCUGAUUCUGUAUUUUCAAGCAAUGCUGGAAUAUCGAAAUGAAAACGUCACUCUCAAAAUUCGACCUUCAUAAAAUGAACCGAAAAACCAUCCGUGACGUCACCGAAAAGAUCAAACCUUGGCAAGAAACUAUUGAAUCAUGAUUCGUGAACAUUCAUCUGUGUCGAUCAACGAUCAAAAAAAACGUAAAUUUUUAUCGCAAGUCAUUGUUUCUGCAUCUAAUUAUUGUAAUGGAACGAUCGUAUUUUUAUUGGCGGCAUAAAAUGAGAGCCAUGUGCAUUGUAUAGUUUACCUUUCCAACGUUCGUGUAAGAAUCGUCGGGUGUGCAAUAUCCGGUGCUGCCCUGAAGAUUGCAAUGAUCGCAUGGUAAACACGGCUGUGGUGCAUCGGGCGGAACGCCGUUUGGUCUGUAAUAGCCGAUCUCACAUUUCUCACAAUUGAUUCCCGUUGUAUGAUCCUGCAAUAAAUUUUUUAUGUCGUUUCCAAACGUAA